rnacentral:rRNA from 1 species
ACUCCUACGGGAGGCAGCAGUCGGGAAUAUUGGACAAUGGGCGAAAGCCUGAUCCAGCAAUACCGCGUGUGUGAAGAAGGCCUGCGGGUUGUAAAGCACUUUCAGUUGGGAAGAUAAUGACGUUACCAACAGAAGAAGCACCGGCUAACUCCGUGCCAGCAGCCGCGGUAAUACGGAGGGUGCGAGCGUUAAUCGGAAUUACUGGGCGUAAAGCGCAUGCAGGCGGCCUGUUAAGUCAGAUGUGAAAGCCCGGGGCUUAACCUCGGAAUUGCAUUUGAAACUGGCAGGCUAGAGUCUUGUAGAGGGGGUAGAAUUUCAGGUGUAGCGGUGAAAUGCGUAGAGAUCUGAAGGAAUACCAGUGGCGAAGGCGGCCCCCUGGACAAAGACUGACGCUCAGAUGCGAAAGCGUGGGGAGCAAACAGGAUUAGAUACCCUGGUAGGAUAGCGU